GAAAUGGUCUUUGAAAGGAGAGAGACCAGAGGAAAUACAGCUCGAGGAAGGCAUUUCUACAGCUUAUGCCUAAAACACAGCGCCUGGAGUAGUAGCUUGAAUGUUUCUGGACUCAAGGAAUCUCAGAAGUAGACCUACAGGGAGGCAAGAUAGUUUCUCACUGCCUGUUCUAUCACCAUGGAUGGCAUUAUCUCAGUGUGGGCUACUGAACGCUGGUGAUAUCUAGGCAGAAUCCAGGAACUCAGUAAGUCGAGGAACAGAGGCCUCUCACGAGGGAAGACAGUAUCGUUUUAUACUUGUGGAAAUGGCCACAAUCCUAUUCAUCUUACAGUUAUGGAGGACAGCCAUCCACAACAACUUUCCUGGGGUCUCCCUAUACAAUAUCUAACCUGGGCUGGCCUGGAACUCACUAGACAGGAGCCUAGCACUGCUGCCCUCUGAGAGGCCCUACAAGCAGCUGAACAAGUCAGAUGCAGACACUUACACCCAAACAAUGGAGAGAAGCUGGGGACCCCUGUGGUUGAAUUAAGGAAAGGCUGGAAAGCUGAGGAGGAAGACUAGCAGCCUCAACUAACCUGGACCCUCGAGAUCUCUCAGAUGCUGAGCCACCAACCAGGCAGCAUAUACUAGCUGAUAUGAGGACCCCCUGGUCUGGCAUCAAUUAGAGAGGAUGCACCCCACCCUUGAGAGACUUGAGUUCCCAGGGAGUGGGGAGGCCUGGUGGAGGUGGAGGGUGGGGGUGGGAACAUCCUCUUGUAGGCAGGAGGAGAAGUAAGGGAGUGAGGAACAAUCAGAGGGCAGACCAGGAGGGGGAUACUGACUGGUCUGUAAAAAAAAGAUUAAAGAGUAAUAAUAAAGCAAAAUAUUUCUUUAUAAGCAAACAAAAAUAAACAAACAUAUGUUUUCAUUUUCCCAUCUGCUACCUUGGAACUGAGGAUGCUAUAUUACUUGUUAUCUAUACCACGGCUUUACAUAUUUUUAUUGCAUUUUAAGUUUUAUUUUGUGUUUGAAUGUGUUCCUCUCUCUCUCUCUCUUUCGGUGUGUGUGUGUGUGUGUGUGUGUGUGUGUGUGUGUGUAUGUACACGUGUGUGCACUUGUAGUUUUGUAGGCUGCUCCACAGGCACCACAACGUACUACUGGAAGUUAAAGGACAAUUUUGGGCUAGUUUUCUCUUCUAUCAUGUUUGUCUCGAGGAUUGGCCUCAGGUUGUUAGCCUUGGUGGUGAGUACCUUUACCUCUCCCAUCUUCUGAGGCUUUAUCAUAACUUUUAAGAAGUUGAAUAUCAAUGGACAAUUAAGAUCAAAAUAACCGUAUGUCAUUAUAAACAAUGCCACAGCAAA
rnacentral:lncRNA from 1 species